rnacentral:rRNA from 1 species
UACGAGGUGGACAAACGUUAUUCGGAUUUACUGGGCUUAAAGCGUGCGUAGGCGGCUCAGAAAGUUGGGUGUGAAAGCCCUCGGCUCAACCGAGGAAUUGCGCUCAAAACUGCUGAGCUUGAGUGAGAUAGGGGUGAGCGGAACUGAUGGUGGAGCGGUGAAAUGCGUUGAUAUCAUCAGGAACACCGGUGGCGAAGGCGGCUCACUGGAUCUUAUCUGACGCUGAGGCACGAAAGCUAGGGGAGCAAACGGG